UCCCCGAUAGCUCAGUUGGUAGAGCAAGCGGCUGUUAACCGCUCGGUCGCAGGUUCGAGUCCUGCUCGGGGAG
rnacentral:tRNA from 1 species